rnacentral:ncRNA from 1 species
UGAUAGUGAUGAUCCGCAAGGUUGCUGUGGGUUAGCCCGCAGGUUUUUGCGAGGAGCGAAUGUCAAGUCAAGAUACUGGCGACAA